AGAUUUAAUUCCGCCUGUAUUGUACUUGGGCUGCAGUUUUUGCAUGAUCGGAACAUCACCCAUAGGGAUUUAAAACUAGAAAAUGUAUUACUGGAUAGAGAUGGAUACGCCAAAAUUACUGACUUUGGCAUUAGCAAAGAAGGAAUGAGUUUUACAGACAGAAGCCAAACUCAAUGUGGAACUUUGCUGUAUAUGGCUCGGAAAUGUUUACACAGUAUCCCUACACAAGAUCAGUGGACUGGUGGGGAUUGGGAGUGUGCAUUUAUUUAAUGCGCCUCAGGCAGAUACCCUUUACAGGAGAUGACGCUGAUGAAAUUAUUCAUAACAUUGUCUAUGAAGAGCCGAUAUAUCCGCCAUCCCUAACCCCGGAAAUCUACAAUAUAAUAACACAAGUGAGUUCUAAUGUGCAAUGUGAGACGGCCCCUUCCAUUGUCACUCACACCCACGCUUAUAUUUGUCCUUACUGUUAGACACACAGUUUUACAUUCUA